CACGUAGGGCGCAAGCGUUGUCCGGAAUUAUUGGGCGUAAAGAGCUCGUAGGUGGUUUGUUACGUCUGCUGUGAAAACCUAGGGCUUAACCCUGGGCUUGCAGUGGAUACGGGCAGACUAGAGGUAGGUAGGGGAGAAUGGAAUUCCUGGUGUAGCGGUGAAAUGCGCAGAUAUCAGGAGGAACACCGGUGGCGAAGGCGGUUCUCUGGGCCUUACCUGACACUGAGGAGCGAAAAGCGUGGGGGAGCGAAACAGG
rnacentral:rRNA from 1 species